AAAAAAAAAAAAAAAAAAAAAAAAAGAAAGAAAGAAAGAAAGAAAAAGAAAAAGAAACAGACAUAAAUCUUCCAUGGAGGAACACACUUUCAUCCAGGGCUCAAUUCUCACAGAUAAAUUUCCAAAGAAUGUGAGUUCAAACACAUUAAAAAAAAAAAAAGUCCUCAAACAUAAGAGAUAAUAAGCCACUAUGUGUGAAUCAACAGAAACAAUACACAACAGAAGCAGACGUAUACCUACGAUAGCUACCAGAAUUAUUAGAUGAUUUGGCAAUGGAACAACAAUCUGGGGACGGGUGGGGUCAGACAGGGGUGGGAGGAAAAUGAGGAAACUUUUGUAGGUGAUGGGUAUGUUCAUUAUCUUGAUUUUGGUGAUGAUGAUGUGAGAACUCGCAUGCUCCCAUCACUGAUAAUGUGGGUAAUGAUGAUGUCACCACAUGCCAUGGAUUACUCACUUCCUCAUUCUUCCCCAGUGAUAUAUAUCCAUUUGUCUAUAUCCCCUCAUAUAUUUGUCAUAUAUCAUACAUAUAGUGUAUGUUUAAAUGAUAAAAGUAAUUAGUCCUGAAGAAGGCAAGGACAGAGAAAUAAAGGAACAAAAACCAGAUGAGACAAAUAGAAAACAAAGAGCAAGACGAUAGAUUUAAAUGUGAAGAAAAAUAAACAGUAACAGUAUCGGAAAAAGUUUAGGGGAACAUUCACCAGGCCAAAUCCACUCUCCACGCUUCCUCCCCCUUCGCUUUCCUAGGAGAGCCCCCUCAUGGUCUAUGCCAGUGGAGUCCUUGCCUUCUGGCUUUGUGUUGGGUUCAGCCAAUGCAGAUACCCAGCCACAGAGCUCCCUUACACGUCCUGAGCUGGCUGUGUCCUUUGACCACAAGUCACUACUGCUCUCCACAUGGCUCACUCUGCAGGAAUUUCCUUCUGGAUUCCAGAAACCAUUCCCUGUCUUCAUCCCUUCAGGCCUAGGGAUGUCAGUAAUUCUGCUGUUAUUAGUUCUGGAUGAUUACAUUAUCCUUUGUGAGUCCCUGAUACCCUGUCCAAACCUUCAUAAAUGGCCCCUUCAUAAAAGCCUCCUUGAAUUAUACUAAUUUCAGUGUGCCAUCUGUUUCCUAUUUGAACUCAGACUGACAUAGCCAUUGUGAAAUCAGAAAAUAGUUCCUCAAAAUGGGAUUCUGGAAUUCCGUUGCUCAUGUAUUUGAGGAACACAGCGAUAACCUUGCUGGGGAAGAAUGAGGAAGUGAGUAAUCCAUGGCAUGUGGUGACAUCAUCAUUACCCACAUUAUCAAUGGUGGGAGCAUGGGAGGGAAUGCAGGUGAUGGGCAAGGCAUUAAGAGAUCAAGUAGCGCCGGCACUUAAUUGCUAUGGCAACAACAGUGAUUAAAAAAUAGUAGAAACAACUGGAUUCUUUUUACUAUCCUAAGAAAUUUAUAUAGGGAAAAAGAGAAAAUCAAGGCUAUGGAAAUACAAUUAAAAAGACGCAUGGAAAACCAGAAUGCCUCCAUGGUGGCCCUGAGGGGUUCCUUAUUUCCGGUAAUUGAAGGGUAAAUAUGGCUAAGAACUAA
rnacentral:lncRNA from 1 species